rnacentral:rRNA from 1 species
AGAGCGAACGCUGGCGGCAGGCCUAACACAUGCAAGUCGAGCGCGUGUAGCAAUACGUCAGCGGCAGACGGGUGAGUAACGCGUGGGAACAUACCUUUUGGUUCGGAACAACCCAGGGAAACUUGGGCUAAUACCGGAUAAGCCCUUACGGGGAAAGAUUUAUCGCCGAAAGAUUGGCCCGCGUCUGAUUAGCUAGUUGGUGAGGUAACGGCUCACCAAGGCGACGAUCAGUAGCUGGUCUGAGAGGAUGAUCAGCCACAUUGGGACUGAGACACGGCCCAAACUCCUACGGGAGGCAGCAGUGGGGAAUAUUGGACAAUGGGCGCAAGCCUGAUCCAGCCAUGCCGCGUGAGUGAUGAAGGCCCUAGGGUUGUAAAGCUCUUUUGUGCGGGAAGAUAAUGACGGUACCGCAAGAAUAAGCCCGGCUAACUUCGUGCCAGCAGCCGC